rnacentral:tRNA from 1 species
GCCUGGGUGGCUCAGUGGUUGAGCCUCUGCCUUUGGCUCAGGUGGUGAUCCAGAGGUCCUGGGAUCAAGUCCCAUAUCAGGCU